ACCCGCGUAGCUCAGUUGGCAGAGCAUUGGGCUAGUAUUCCAAAGGUCGUAGGUUCGAAUCCCACCGUGGCCG
rnacentral:tRNA from 1 species